ACACCACUAUUUUAGACUGAUGUCUAUGGAUAGUUGGUAAGAAAUACACUUACUAAUGUUUUUUACAUAGAAUUUAAAAAAUAAAGCCUAGACAUAAAAAGUCUGUCAUGGAACUCCUAAACUUUUUCCUGUACCAGUAAUGCACAAGGGUUUAACUGUUUUCAGAAGGAGUUUUCACAGACCAGAUGCAGAAUCCAUCCCUGGAGAGGCUUCUCUACACCAGACCUCCAAUUAUUCUGGAGGGUCACGCAGAUGUGUGAUAUUCAGCCACACAAAUUAUGUCUAGAUUACUCAAGGGACCUAGAGCUUAUCUCAAAUAUGCUCAAUUAUAAAAGGAUGAUGAAUUUUCAAGCAUGAGGUCAAAAGGAUUAGGACCUUCCCACUUCCAUCUAGGCAAGACAAAAUUUGUCACCCAUCCAUACAGACAUUUGAGAGAACCAAUCCAGGUGGUUGGUUUUUGUUGCUGGUUUUUGUUUGUUUGUUUGUUUUUCAGAUUAAUUUUCACUAUUCACCAUGUACCAUAAAUUCUAUAAUUUAGUGAGAUGAACAGGAUGAUGGAGAAGAACCGUGAAAAACAAAGUUGGUCAGUUUGGAGACAAUUCAAUGGACACUGGUUUAAUGACUAAGCUGCUCACAUAGGAAGAAGAGAAUUAUCUAUCUAGAAAAAGUAGAAGACGUCAUCAAGAGGAAAAUGAUGCCUCUAAGCUUGGGACUGCAUCUUCCCCACUCUUAAUCCUCCUUCUAUAGGAAGGAAUCUUCACCAGCACAGCAUCCCUCACUUCUCUCUGCUGCCUCACCUAAUCCCAUCCCAUAAAGGGAGUGGAUCUUAUCUUUUCAGUCUUCCUGGUGACUUGGAGAAAAUAAAUUGAAUACAUUAACCCUUUUUUUUCUCCUUUUUCUCUUGGAAGUGAAGCUGCCUUUGAGAUACAUCUGGUCUUCCACGUGUUUUAUAGAGACACAUUGUGUCCCUAUGAGGUAAGACUUUGUAAUUCUAGGGAUCAUUUUUCAAAACUUAAUUGCCUACGGACAUAAACUACAUUCUCCAAUAUCAGCUUUAUCAAUAUAAAUGUUACCAGCUCCCAUCCACCUAUUCUUUUGCUUAUUUUUCAUUUUGCUCAAAACUUGGGUGGGAAAAGGGGGUGCUAAUUAUUCAUUUUUUUAUUUUAUUUUUUUUAAUUUUUUUGAGAUGGA